CUUUAGCUCAGUUGGUUAGAGCAGACGGCUCAUAACCGUCCGGUCGUAGGUUCGAGUCCUACAAGGUCCA
rnacentral:tRNA from 1 species